rnacentral:rRNA from 1 species
AACGUACGCUGGCGGCACGCCUAACACAUGCAAGUCGAACGAAGUAGCAAUACUUAGUGGCAGACGGGUGAGUAACAUGUAGGUAUCUGCCCUUUGGCCUGGAAUAACACGAGGAAACUUGUGCUAAUACCGGAUAAGUCUUUACGGAGAAAGCUUUAUGCACCAUUGGAUGAGCCUGCACUUGAUUAGUUUGUUGGUGGGGUAAUGGCCUACCAAGACUGUGAUCAAUAGCUGAUUUGAGAGGAUGAUCAGCCACAUUGGGACUGAGACACGGCCCAAACUCCUACGGGAGGCAGCAGUGGGGAAUCUUGCACAAUGGAGGAAACUCUGAUGCAGCGAUGCCGCGUGAGUGAAGAAGGCCCUUGGGUUGUAAAGCUCUUUCGUCGGGGAAGAAAAUGACUGUACCCGAAUAAGAAGGUCCGGCUAACUUCGUGCCAGCAGCCGCGGUAAUACGAAGGGACCUAGCGUAGUUCGGAAUUACUGGGCUUAAAGAGUUCGUAGGUGGUUGAAAAAGUUAGUGGUGAAAUCCCAGAGCUUAACUCUGGACCUGCCAUUAAAACUUUUCAGCUAGAGUAUGAUAGAGGAAAGCAGAAUUUCUAGUGUAGAGGUGAAAAUCGUAGAUAUUAGAAAGAAUCCCAAUGGCGAAGGCAGCUUUCUGGAUCAAUUACUGACACUAAGAAACAAA